rnacentral:hammerhead_ribozyme from 1 species
AUUCAGCUGACGAGUCCCAAUUAGGACUAAACGCGAUUCCUGGAU